rnacentral:rRNA from 1 species
AUGCUGACGAGUGGCGCACGGGUGAGUAACGCGUAUGCAACCUACCUUUUACCGAGGAAUAGCCCAGGGAAACUUGGAUUAAUACCUCAUAAUACUUAGAAAAGGCAUCUUUUUUAAGUUAAAACUCCGGUGGUAAGAGAUGGGCAUGCGUGCCAUUAGCUUGUUGGUGAGGUAAAGGCUCACCAAGGCAACGAUGGCUAGGGGGGUCUUAAAGGAUGGUCCCCCACACUGGUACUGAGACACGGGCCAG